rnacentral:tRNA from 1 species
GGAUCUUUAAGCUCAAAAUGGUAAGAGCGCCCGGUCUAAAUCCUGGGAGGAUGGUGGUUCGAAUCCACCAAGAUCCU